AUUAGUGUUAAUUCAUCUAGUUUACUAUUUUACGGGGUUUACUAAUAAAAUAUUACUAAGCAUAAUAUGGACCAAUUGACCUAAGUGGAUCCGGAAAUUUUGGGCAGAAGUCUAAUUUUUUUUUUUUUGAUUGAUUAAUUAAUUAACACUAGUAGAAAAAUUGAAAAAGGCACCCCCCUUUUCCCACCGGUUCUUAAAAACCGGUGGGAAAAGAUUUGGGCGGGAUUCGGAUAUUUACUUUUCGCACCGGUUCCUUUGAAACCGGUGGCAAAUGUAUGUUUUCGAACCGGUUCGAACUGGUGCUAAAUGUGUUGUUUAAAAAAAAAAAGGGUAAAUGGAUAUGCCACCGGUUCAACCCAAACCGGUGGAGAAAGUACGCAAAUUAAAAAAAAAAACCGUCAAAUACUCUUCUUCUUCAAUUCCUUCAGCACGAACAAUUUCAUUCCCCUGCUUCCCCUUCAAUUAAUCUUCUUCUCUCGUUCUCGCCUGCCCUCACCAUCUCCUUCACGCAUAGGUUGUCCUCCAUUGAAGCGCAUUCCCUGGGCUUUCUCACCUCCAUUGCCGCGCAACUCCUCUCUUUCUCUCCAUAUAUAGCUAUCUCCUCCAUUGAAGCGCAUACUGUCGAGCUUUGUGACCUCCAUUGAAGCGCAUUCUGAGCUUUCCAACUCCAUUGUAGCAGCUUCGAGCUUGUGCACUUUGUUAAUCGUGACUCACUAGGUUUAGCAAAUGACUUUCUAUCCCUCAGAUUUCUCCCUGAAGGUGUUGAUAUCCUUUUAGUUUCUAAUGCCUUACAAACAUUGUGAAAAUGCUUCUCCUGGUUUGCUUCGAUUUCGCUUCCUUAUGGUUUUUUUUUGCUGUUCUCAAUUUGGUUCUUCGUUGCGAUUGAUGAAUUGUUGGUUGAUUUUGUUGUUGUUUUAGGGUUGUCGAAUCUGGUAUGUAAUUUGAUCAGCAUCUCACUCUACCUAUCUCUUAUUUCCCUUUGGUAAAUUGGAACUUCUAUAAGCUUGAAAAGAUAAUGAAUUGUUUUGUAUAACUCUGUUUUUGGUCAAUUGCACUCUGAAAUAGAUAUACAUCAUCGGUACAUAUAUAGGGUGCCUCCAUGCCUGUAGUGUGUUCUCUUUUUCAGUGGUAAAAGACUUGUAGUAGUUGCACCCUUUACCAGCUUCCUUAAAUUGCAAAUCAGUGUCUCAUAUGUACUACUUUAUGACCUGUUUUCCUUGAUGAUUUGUGUUGCUCAACAUCUUUCCUGUUUUUUUUUUUUCCAUUCAGUUCUUCUUGCCAUUAACAAGUCCAGGGCAUUCAUAUAUGCAUACUUCGCUCUUCGUUGUCUUUCCUACAUUCUAAGUCUCCGGAGUGUAUUCUGCAUUGCUAUUGCCUAUGCGGCAGAUGUAGUUGAGGAUGACAAAAGAGUUGCAGCAUUUAGUUGGAUCACAGGUGUAAUGUUUGCUUCAUAUGUCUGGGGAGUUUGCUAGCAAAGUUUAUUCCGGGAAAGUACAUA